UACGUAGGGGGCAAGCGUUGUCCGGAAUUAUUGGGCGUAAAGCGCGCGCAGGCGGUUCUUUAAGUCUGGUGUUUAAGUGCGGGGCUCAACCCCGUGACGCACUGGAAACUGGGGAACUUGAGUGCAGAAGAGGAGAGCGGAAUUCCACGUGUAGCGGUGAAAUGCGUAGAGAUGUGGAGGAACACCAGUGGCGAAGGCGGGUCUCUGGGCCGUAACUGACGCUGAGGAGCGAAAGCAUGGGGAGCGAACAGG
rnacentral:rRNA from 1 species